rnacentral:rRNA from 1 species
GAUGAACGCUGGCGGCGUGCCUAAUACAUGCAAGUCGAGCGAACGGACGAGAAGCUUGCUUCUCUGAUGUUAGCGGCGGACGGGUGAGUAACACGUGGAUAACCUACCUAUAAGACUGGGAUAACUUCGGGAAACCGGAGCUAAUACCGGAUAAUAUUUUGAACCGCAUGGUUCAAAAGUGAAAGACGGUCUUGCUGUCACUUAUAGCUGGAUCCGCGCUGCAUUAGCUAGUUGGUAAGGUAACGGCUUACCAAGGCAACGAUGCAUAGCCGACCUGAGGGGGUGAUCGGCCACACUGGAACUGAGACACGGUCCAGACUCCUACGGGAGGCAGCAGUAGGGAAUCUUACGCAAUGGGCGAAAGCCUGACGGAGCAACGCCGCGUGAGUGAUGAAGGUCUUCGGAUCGUAAAACUCUGUUAUUAGGGAAGAACAUAUGUGUAAGUAACUGUGCACAUCUUGACGGUACCUAAUCAGAAAGCCACGGCUAACUACGUG